AUGAAGACCAGGGGGCCCGCACCCUGUCCACGAGGGUGGGGGGCGCGCCCCUUCCCCGUGGGUGCGCCCCCCUACCUCGUGGGCCCCCUGGAUGCCCUCCGACGCCAACUCCAACUCCAUAUACCGGCUUUCGGGGAGAAAAAAAUAAGAGAGAAGAAAUCAUCGCGUUUUACGGUACAGAGCCGCCGCCAAGCCCUAAUCUCUCUCGGGAGGGCUGAUCUGGAGUCCGUUCGGGGCUCCCGAGAGGGGGACUCGUCGCCGUCUUCAUCAUCAACCAUCCUCCAUCACCAAUUUCAUGAUGCUCGCCGCCGUGCGUGA
rnacentral:rRNA from 1 species